UAAUGCUGCUGUUGCAGUGAACCAAGACUGUUGAAUGAUUAGCACAGCAAGCAGUGCAGUGAAGGUGCUGAAAGAGUCUAUUAGUUUGCUUAGUCUCAGUCAGCAUGAAGUAUUAAUACAAGCUCUCUGCAAACAAACAGACACAGCCAAGGAGCAAAGUGGGUAAGAUCAACUUCUUCAGCACUUUCUGUCUGGACCUUCCAACAAGAAGAAAAGGUAACAAGAAGAGUCAACAUGAAAGAGUGACAGAAGGUACAAGAUCAACUGUCCUUAAAGUGUCACUAAUCAAUACAGAAAGCUAGAAUUACAGAAUAUUAUCAUCAAUCAUCAUUAAUAUUUUCAAGCCUACAAUGGACUGUUGGUCAGAUCCUGUCUUAUCAAUGCCUGCGGGAGAUAGUAUUAUUAAUCCUUGGUGAUUUCAAUAGCCACCACACAUCUUGGGCUAUAACCAAUGGAUAAGAAUGGGAAUAGAUUAUCUGAUUGGAUUGAAAUAAACAAUCUUACUCUUACAUAUUAUGCUAAAGAUAGAAGUGAAUUUUAUUCUACUCGUUGGCAAAAGAAUUAUUCCCAGAUCUUUGUUUUCAACAUAGUCCUAUAAUCUACAGAAUAGGACUCCAGAUUCCAGUAAUUAGGUCCACCUCUAAAUCUCAUUGGAACUUCCAGAAAACAGAUUGGAAUACUUAUACUAAGCACACUGAUGUUAACAUCAGAUGAAUCAAAGCAGUCCUUAAGAACCACAACAGAUUUAUUGGCUUAUACCAGCAUCAAAUUCCUGGAUGUGCAGCUAACAAAUAGGCUGGCUUGGUCGCUCAACAGCAAGACACUGGUGAAGUGGCCACAGCAGCACCUGCAUUUUCUG